rnacentral:rRNA from 1 species
AGGUCAAGCGGGAAAAGGCGCACGGUGGAUGCCUUGGUAUCAAGGGCCGAAGAAGGGCGUGGUAAGGCUGCGAUAAGCCUCGGCGAGCUGUCUAGCAAGCCUAGCCGGGGAUUCCCGAAUGGGGCAACCCGUUCUUCCAAAAGAAGGACACCCCCAGCUGAACACAUAGGCUGGGAGGAGGUAAGCAGGGGAAGUGAAACAUCUCAGUACCCUGAGGAAAGGAAAUUAUUCCCCAAGUAGUGGCGAACGAAAGGGGAGAAGCCCAAACCAUAUGAGCUAAGUGGUUCUGAGGCCUAGGCUUAUAUGGUGUUGUAAGGCAGGUAGGGCCCGGCUCAGAGAGGGCCAAGGAGUUACAAACCGAACCCUAGCUGAAGGUUACUGGAAGGGGCAACCACAGAGGGUGACAGUCCCGUAGGCUAAAGGGGGAGGCUCCUUACCUGUUCUUGAGUACCACGGGACACGAGAAAUCUUGUGGGAAUCUGCUCUGACCACAGGGCAAGGCUAAAUACCCUUGAUGACCGAUAGUGAACUAGUACCGUGAGGGAAAGGUGAAAAGUACCCCGGG